GUGGGGAAUUUUGGACAAUGGGCGAAAGCCUGAUCCAGCAAUGCCGCGUGCAGGACGAAGGCCUUCGGGUUGUAAACUGCUUUUGUACGGAACGAAACAGCUCUUUCUAAUACAGAGAGCAAAUGACGGUACCGUAAGAAUAAGCACCGGCUAACUACGUGCCAGCAGCCGCGGUAAUACGUAGGGUGCAAGCGUUAAUCGGAAUUACUGGGCGUAAAGCGUGCGCAGGCGGUCUUUUAAGACAGAUGUGAAAUCCCCGGGCUUAACCUGGGAACCGCAUUUGUGACUGAAAGGCUAGAGUACGGCAGAGGGGGAUGGAAUUCCGCGUGUAGCAGUGAAAUGCGUAGAUAUGCGGAGGAACACCGAUGGCGAAGGCAAUCCCCUGGGCCUGUACUGACGCUCAUGCACGAAAGCGUGGGGAGCAAACAGGAUUAGAUACCCGAGUAGUCC
rnacentral:rRNA from 1 species